AACGCAUAUUGCGCCCUCUAGUAUUCUAGGAGGCAUGCCUGUUCGAGCGUCAUUUCAACCCUCAGGCCUAGCCUGUUGUUGAGGCAUUAUAGCAUAUAAGCCUUGAAUUAUAGUGGCAGACCUUCUGGACGCCAAGCGUAGUAACUACUCUCGCUUAGGGGUUUCAGGUGGUAUCUAGCCGUAAAACCUCCUUAUCAUGGUUGACCUCGGAUCAGGUAGGAAUACCCGCUGAACUUAA
rnacentral:misc_RNA from 1 species